GUGCCAGCCGCGCGGUAAUACCGGCAGCCCGAGUGAUGGCCGAUCUUAUUGGGCCUAAAGCGUCCGUAGCUGGCCGCGCAAGUCCAUCGGAGAAUCCACCCGCCCAACGGGUAGGCGUCCGGUGGAAACUGUGUGGCUUGGGACCGGAAGGCGCGACGGGUACGUUCGGGGUAGGAGUGAAAUCCCAUAAUCCCGCACGGACCACCGAUGGCGAAAGCACUUCGAGAAAACGGAUCCGACAGUGAGGGACGAAAGCCAGGGUCUCCAACCGGAUUAGAAACCCCUGUAGUCC
rnacentral:rRNA from 1 species